GCCUGGGUGGCUUAAUCGGUUAAGCAUCUGACUUUGGCUCAGGUCAUGCAUGAUCUCACAGUUCGUGAGUUUGAGUCCCGCAUCAGGCU
rnacentral:tRNA from 1 species